rnacentral:rRNA from 1 species
AUUGAACGCUGGCGGCGGGCCUAACACAUGCAAGUCGAGCGAGCGGCGGACGGGUGAGUCAUGUCUGGGAACCUGCCUGAUGGAGGGGGAUAACUCCUGGAACCGGUGGCUAAUACCGCAUACCAUCCGAUGAGCCCAGGUUGGAUUCGCUAGUGGGUGGGGUAACGGCUCACCAAGUCGACGAUCCCUAGCUGGUCUGAGAGGAUGACCGGCCACACUGGAACUGAGACACGGUCCAGAAUCCGACGGGAGGCAGCAGUGGGGAAUAUUGCGCAAUGGGCGAAAGCCUGAUGCAGCCAUGCCGCGUGAAUGAAGAAGGCCUUCGGGUUGUAAAGCACUUUCAGUAGGGAGGCGUUACCUAAAGAAGAAGCACCGGCUAACUACGUGCCAGCAGCCGCGGUAAUUC